rnacentral:rRNA from 1 species
UGAGGAAUAUUGGACAAUGGGCGCAAGCCUGAUCCAGCCAUGCCGCGUGCAGGAUGAAGCAUCUAUGGUGUGUAAACUGCUUUUGUACAGGAAGAAACCCUCCCACGUGUGGGAGAUUGACGGUACUGUAAGAAUAAGGAUCGGCUAACUCCGUGCCAGCAGCCGCGGUAAUACGGAGGAUCCAAGCGUUAUCCGGAAUCAUUGGGUUUAAAGGGUCCGUAGGCGGCCUUAUAAGUCAGUGGUGAAAUCUCCCGGCUCAACCGGGAAAUGGCCAUUGAUACUGUAGGGCUUGAAUUAUUAGGAAGUAACUAGAAUAUGUAGUGUAGCGGUGAAAUGCUUAGAGAUUACAUGGAAUACCAAUUGCGAAGGCAGGUUACUACUAAUG